UUCCGGUUGAUCCCGCCAGAGGUUACUGCUAUCGAGGUUCGACUAAGCCAUGCGAGUCGAAUGUAGCAAUACAUGGCGUACUGCUCAGUAACACGUGGACAACCUACCCUUAGGAUGGGGAUAAACCCGGGAAACUGGGUAUAAUACCCAAUAGAUCUGGUCUGCUGGAAUGCUUCCAGAUUUAAAACUCCGGUGCCUAAGGAUGGGUCUGCGGCCUAUCAGGUUGUAGUGGGUGUAGUGUACCUACUAGCCUACGACGGGUACGGGUUGUGAGAGCAAGAGCCCGGAGAUGGAUUCUGAGACACGAAUCCAGGCCCUACGGGGUGCAGCAGGCGCGAAAACUUUACAAUGCCGGCAACGGCGAUAAGGGGACCUCGAGUGCCAGGUUACAAAUCUGGCUGUCGCGAUGCCUAAAAAGCAUUGCAUAGCAAGGGCCGGGCAAGACCGGUGCCAGCCGCCGCGGUAACACCGGCGGCUCGAGUGGUAACCGUUAUUAUUGGGUCUAAAGGGUCUGUAGCCGGCCGGGUAAGUCUCUUGGGAAAUCCAGCAGCUCAACUGUUGGGCUUUCAGGAGAUACUGCCUGGCUCGAGGCCGGGAGAGGUGAGAGGUACUUCAAGGGUAGGGGUGAAAUCUUGUAAUCCUUGAAGGACCACCAGUGGCGAAGGCGUCUCACCAGAACGGACCUGACGGCAAGGGACGAAAGCUAGGGGCACGAACCGGAUUAGAUACCCGGGUAGUCCUAGCCGUAAACGAUACUCGCUAGGUGUCGGCCACGGUGCGACCGUGGUCGGUGCCGUAGGGAAGCCGUGAAGCGAGCCACCUGGGAAGUACGGCCGCAAGGCUGAAACUAAAAGGAAUUGGCGGGA
rnacentral:rRNA from 1 species